UACAGAGGGUGCGAGCGUUCAUCGGAAUUACUGGGCGUAAAGCGCACGUAGUCGGCUUUGCAAGUCGGGUGUGAAAUCCCCGGGCUCAACCUGGGAACUGCAUCCGAGACUGCAUUGCUAGAGUAUGGGAGAGGGAAGCGGAAUUUCUGGUGUAGCAGUGAAAUGCGUAGAUAUCAGAAGGAACAUCAGUGGCGAAGGCGGCUUCCUGGACCAAUACUGACGAUCAGGUGCGAAAGCGUGGGGAGCAAACAGG
rnacentral:rRNA from 1 species